AUCGCUUCUCAGCCUUUUGGCUAAGAUCAAGUGUAGCAUAGGAGUCUGGCCACACUUUCAUCCAGCUUACUUUUGCUCUGGCCCUGCUUAUGCCCAAUCUUGGAUAUAUUACUUAUAUCUUGCCAUAGGUUUUACUGGGUCCACUCGGACUUAUGAGUUAGUGGGACUGACAACACUCAGCUCCUAUUAGGCAGUUC
ensembl:snRNA U2 U2 spliceosomal RNA